GCCUUCGGAAGCAAUGGCUAGCCAGGCGCAGGGAACUCCGAGAGGCCUUGCAAAGCAACCGCCGCGUAUUUCUACAGUUCCUUAGAUCAAACACAAUGGGGACUGCCAGAGUGCCGUGCGGCCGUCACCACAGCAACCGAGCGGCGAGUGAACAGGUCCUGAUGGAUGCUGAUGGAUCUCAGGGAUGAGCCGCAGCAGAAAGGGAGUGACCAGAGAGGAGCCUGAUUAAAAGUAGCGGAGCGCGGCGGUGAGUGAUAACCCCGAUCCGGUGGUGAUGAAUCCACUCUGGACGGGCUGCUGUCUCAUUAGACGCUGCCCUCGGCCAGGCACCGGGUGUCCAAAUAAACGCUGCAACAAUCCGGCUUUUAUCAGCAGGCUUAGGCUUGUUUUGCUUUCGGCGGCUUCACUUGUGUGGGCUCGUAUUGGAGCAUCCUCCGCCCCUGGUGGGUCUCCAUAAACCUGAGGUGUGAUUCACCACUGUGUUUACACUAAUCUGGGUCUAUCUCUGCUGGAAUUAAUGAGACCAACAGCAGCAUUAGGCGGGGGGGUCUUGCGGAGCCUGUGUGAAGCAGUGAGAAAAGGCUGAAAUAAUCUGCCUUUUAUUUGUCAUAACAUAAACAUCGGAGUUGUUUAAAAGGCUGAUAACAUUAAAUAUUGGCCCGAGGGAGGUGGUAGUUUACAUUCUCGCUGGAGUAGUCUUGAUAACAGGCCAGAGGCAAUCUGAAACCCUUUAAAUAUGCGCAUUAGUGUAAUUUAUUGGGCUCUCGCAGCUCUCUGCUCUCCCCGCAACCAAAAAACAGGCCAAGGUUCAGCAAAGGAGAGUAAGAUCAACCACUUCUGAUAAUCUCAUAAAAGUACGAAGGACUAUUUGGGGAGCGAUAGUAAAAUUAUGUGAAGACUGUCAUA